rnacentral:rRNA from 1 species
GAUGAACGCUGGCGGCGUGCCUAAUACAUGCAAGUCGAGCGCCCCUUUGUGUGCUAAUCAACAUCGAUAGUUGGUUGUCAUACAUGGGGAGCGGCGGACGGGUGAGUAACGCGUAGAAAUGUACCCCAGACUGAGGGAUAAGCCAGAGAAAUCUGGUCUAAUACCGCAUACGGUCUACGGAUUAAAGCUUCGGCGGUUUGGGAACAGUCUGCGUAGGAUUAGCUAGUUGGUAAGGUAAAAGCUUACCAAGGCGACGAUCCUUAGCUGGUCUGAGAGGAUGAUCAGCCACACUGGAACUGAGACACGGUCCAGACUCCUACGGGAGGCAGCAGUAGGGAAUCUUCCACAAUGGACGAAAGUCUGAUGGAGCAACGCCGCGUGCAGGAUGAAUGCCUUCGGGUUGUAAACUGCUUUUAUUUGUGAUGAUUGAAGACAGUAGCAAAUGAAUAAGGAUCGGCUAAUUCCGUGCCAGCCGCCGCCGUAACAC